rnacentral:rRNA from 1 species
AUGUCAAGGGACAGCGUGCUGAUCGGCGCCUCCAUGUUCGUGCUCGUCGUGCUCUCCCUCGUCACCUUCUUCUGCUCCAACCGACGCCGACUGGCGCAGAGCUCGUCGCGGCAGGGCGUUGUCGACAUCGAGCUCGGGCACGGCAGGUGCGCCGCCUUGGGGCUCGACGAGGCCGCCCUGGCCGCGUACCCGACGACGGUGUACUCGUCGUCCAUCCAGCAUCAUCAGGCGGCGGCUACCGUCGAGCAGACUGCGAAGGAGGAGCGGGGGUGCGCGGUGUGCCUGGCGGAGUACGCCGACGGCGAUGAGUUGCGGGUGCUGCCCGGCUGUGCGCACGCGUUCCAUCGACGGUGCGUCGACCAGUGGCUCCGGCGGCGGCCCAGCUGCCCGCUCUGCCGCACGUCGCCGCAGAGCAGAGCAUCACCGGCGCAUGCUAACCGUCGUCAGAGCGUCAGCGUGCCGAUGUAG